UACGUAGGGGGCAAGCGUUGUCCGGAUUUAUUGGGCGUAAAGAGCGUGUAGGCGGCUCGGUAAGUCCGCUGUGAAAGUCGGGGGCUCAACCCUCGGAUGCCGGUGGAUACUGUCGGGCUCGAGUACGGAAGAGGCGAAUGGAAUUCCUGGUGUAGCGGUGAAAUGCGCAGAUAUCAGGAGGAACACCAAUGGCGAAGGCAGCUCGCUGGGACGUCCCUGACGCUGAGACGCGAAAGCGUGGGGAGCAAACAGG
rnacentral:rRNA from 1 species